AUCCGACUGACGAGUCCCAAAUAAGACGAAACCCACGUUAUGGAU
rfam:Schistosoma margrebowiei strain Zambia genome assembly, scaffold: SMRZ_scaffold0004904